GCACAAGUACAAGAGAUCAAACAUUAUACAACCACAACCAUAUGAACAUACAAAUGACCAACAGAUAUACAUUCAUACACCAUUCACCACAGGUUCACAUUAAUACAUUCGAUAUUUAAAUAUAAAUCCAUAUUUAUCAGUUAAAAUGUUUCCAGCCACAGAAACAGGUUUUCAAAUACUAAGAUACAAGAUCCACAGAAAACCUUAUGAAAACUGUUGCCUACACAGAAACUUUUAUCUUUAUAAAACGUUACCACGAGGGGUAGAAAACCUUUUAUUUUACAAAAUCCAAAAAUCCUUUUAUUACAUUCAUGAAGAUCCACAUAUUGGAAUGUAAUAAAAAUACUGAACCAGGUAAACUAUCUAAACUAUGUCAACAGAAUAGUAAGGGUAGGAACUAAACCAAUAACCUGGGUCGGAAGCUCUAUCGACCGCUACGAACGUACCUCACGUCUCGUCCCAAAACUCAUCGCCUGCAAUACCUGAAA
rnacentral:lncRNA from 1 species